rnacentral:lncRNA from 1 species
GCAAUAAUAUUGUGAUAUAUUAAGGAACCCAUAUUGACACAUGGAAAGCAACUUGCACCUCCAACUAGAAACGCUAUAAGAAAGGAUGAGCAAGCUGUAACAUAGCCAAACAAAGCUUUGAUAUCAUGUGGAGGGGGUUAGAGGCUUUUUAUGACAAUGUUGGAAGGCUUGACAUUUAAGUGGUAGGUAAUGAGACAUAACGAUAGAAUCGAGACAACUAGCAUAGCAAUCAUAGUAGUGGUUUCCAG